CGGGACGGGUGAGUAAUGUCUGGGAAACUGCCUGAUGGAGGGGGAUAACUACUGGAAACGGUAGCUAAUACCGCAUAACGUCGCAAGACCAAAGAGGGGGACCUCGGGCCUCUUGCCAUCGGAUGCGCCCAGAUGGGAUUAGCUAGUAGGUGGGGUAACGGCUCACCUAGGCGACGAUCCCUAGCUGGUCUGAGAGGAUGACCAGCCACACUGGAACUGAGACACGGUCCAG
rnacentral:rRNA from 1 species